GUUGCUUUCAAAGCCGAAAAAUUUGACUUUAAUUUUUUUAAUGCUUUCAAAAUGAACCGCGCUGUAAUGAGGGUGGUGCAGGGUCUCCUCCCUUUAGUUCUGGCAUCCAAAUACCCAGGAAGUGGGUGUUUUAUUAAUACAGGGAAACUGUGGCUUUGGAUUAAGAUCAUUAAGUGCGUUUGGAUGCCGUAUGACAGAUGAGGCAUGUUGCCAAGUUAUUCAGCAAACAGAGCGCUAUUGAGAUUAUAUAGAUGAUAUCGGCUUAAUGGAAUAUCAGCGAUUUAUGAGCUACGAAUGAUUUAUUUAUCAUACCGAUGAAGGCGGCCACUUGAAAGAUCCUGGUUCCUGUUCGCAGUCUGUCGCAUCUGCGGCAUUUGCGACACUUGAUCCCAGAAGCAUGUUGGGAUCCUGAGGUAACUGAUUUGCAUGCUUUCUACUGGACCUGAUUUUCUCUCUCAGACCACUACGAUGAGACUCAACAGAUCUGUGCGAAGUCAAUCACUGUUGCUGGAUGAACGAUGGGAAACCUGGAGCUCUGUCAGCAGCAGUGAUAAAGAGGUCAACAUCUCAGGGCUCACACAUCUUAGAACAUUGCUGUUAUGCAUCGGUACCUAAAGAUCUAAACAAGGAAAUGAUGAUGGUGGGCUUACGUCAUAGAUACAAGGUAAAUAAUGACGACGACGACGAUGAUGAAAGAUGAAGAGAAGAAGAAACUGCCAGAAGAAAUUGAAAUUUUCAAAUUAAUCUGCGGUUAUUCUGUGCUGUUUCUCCUAGAUAAAAUUGCAAUAAUUUCAUUACAUAGAUGACUCAACUUAACGAUCCCAGUAAAGCUCCAAUUAGAUGUUAAAGCUGAAUCCCUAUAAGAUCACUUCAAGUAAUUUGAUCACUAAAAGGCCUAUACAACUUCCUCCACUGACCUUUAUUUUUCUUAUAUGUCUAAAUGAGCACUUGUACAAUUCGGUUUUUUUACAGUUGUCUUUAUUUCUCCAAUAGCAUAUAUUUCUCUGGUAACUGUAAAUAGUCCAUAAAACAACUGAAAAAUGCAAUGUCCCUCCUGACAAAAUGCAGCCUUGGACUGUGAGCGUUUUCUAGACUGUACUUGCUCACACAAUAUUAGUGGUGAUGCACAUUUUAUACAGUAACAUGUCAAUCGCUGAUGAGUGAUGAAAGGCUGUAGAAUUCAGGCAUCCGCAUGGACGCCUGCAGCUGCGAUGAUGUCUUAUCUGCAUCACUGCUAAGUCUCCUUACCAACAAAGGUUAGUGAUGUUUGUGUUCCAGUGAUGAAGAAAUGCCCUCUAUCACUGGAAUAUGGAAUGAGACCUACAGAGGUUUUCCCUCAGCGUGUGUAGGCAGGAUGGCCCCGGAGCUUUGAACUUCUGUGAGUUAUUGUUCUCUGUGUACGUCUGAUAUCGUCUCUAUCUU